rnacentral:misc_RNA from 1 species
UCCGGUUUGGCACCGGCAGUCUCUCUAGAGUUCCCGGCUUUACCCGCUGGUAACUAGAGACAGGGGUUGCGCUCGUUGCGGGACUUAACCCAACAUCUCACAACACGAGCUGACGACAGCCAUGCAGCACCUGUGCAUGGACUCCGAAGAGGGCCGGCCGUCUCUGGCCGGUUUCCCAUGCAUGUCAAGCCUAGGUAAGGUUCUUCGCGUUGCGUCGAAUUAAACCACAUGCUCCACCGCUUGUGCGGGCCCCCGUCAAUUCCUUUGAGUUUCAGCCUUGCGGCCGUACUCCCCAGGCGGGGCACUUAAUGCGUUAGCGCCGGCACCCGGAGGGUCGCUCCCCCGGGCACCUAGUGCCCAUCGUUUACGGCGUGGACUAC